rnacentral:rRNA from 1 species
AUUGAACGCUGGCGGCAUGCUUUACACAUGCAAGUCGAACGGUAACAGGUUAAGCUGACGAGUGGCGAACGGGUGAGUAAUGCAUCGGAACGUGCCCGAUCGUGGGGGAUAACACUUCGAAAGAAGUGCUAAUGCCGCAUACGAUCUGAGGAUGAAAGCGGGGGACCGUAAGGCCUCGCGCGAUCGGAGCGGCCGAUGUCAGAUUAGGUAGUUGGUGGGGUAAAGGCUCACCAAGCCGACGAUCUGUAGCUGGUCUGAGAGGACGACCAGCCACACUGGGACUGAGACACGGCCCAGACUCCUACGGGAGGCAGCAGUGGGGAAUUUUGGACAAUGGGCGCAAGCCUGAUCCAGCAAUGCCGCGUGCAGGAAGAAGGCCUUCGGGUUGUAAACUGCUUUUGUACGGAGCGAAAAGGCUCUCUCUAAUACAGGGGGCUCAUGACGGUACCGUAAGAAUAAGCACCGGCUAACAACGUGCCAGCCGCCGCCGUAAAAC